GAGGGCACAAGUUAUACAUGGGCUCCCCAUUAAUGUGACUUUGUAGAGACAACUUUGCUGUAGUUCAAAAAUUACGUUCAGUGCUGUCCACAGAGACAAGCCUGAGGUUCCUGUGAUCUUCAUGCCGGGGCCGUCAAACAUUCACGGAAUAAAAAGAAAACUGUAAGUUUCAAAACUAUGAAACUCUGAUUCCUCCUCUACCUCAAAGUAACGACAGUGACAUCUUGUGGCAAUUUCUUAAAAGUGAAAAAAUAACCUCACUGUCAAAAUUGCAAAAGGAAUGUUUUCAUGUCCAAUUAACUCUUCAACACAUCAUCAUUUUUACUAAUUUCUUUUCUACACGAGAGAGAAGCAGGAGUUGUUCCUGUUGAGCAAAAAAUAACGAAUCUGCUCCUUAGUCAAAGUACUUCAAGGUAGAUGGCAACUCAACUUCAAAACCGUCUGGUAAAAAAAAAAUUCCAGAUGAGACUGUUUUCACCCGUCUCGAAGAUAUCAACAACAUAAAGUCAGUUUCGUCUGCAUUCAGAACAAGCUACACUUGAAAAAGCUGAUCUUGAACUAAAUUAAAUGCAUGCUGGAGAUUUACGUAAGCUUGAACAGGCAUAGAGUAAUAGUAAAAAGUAGUGGGCCGAGAGCUGAUCCUUGUGGAACCCCUUUAUAGAUUUGCAGCACCAAUAUACCUUUGAAUUUAACGGUUUGGGUUCAACCAGUGAGAAAGUUGGCAAACCAUCCAGCUGUAUGUUCAGGAAACCCAAUGGCAUUAUGGGCUUUAAGUAAGACUGUAAUUAACGGCAUCGAAACCCUCUACGCUGAAAAAAUUGUUUUAUUUUGGGUUUGUCAGAAAAAAAAGAGAACUUUAAACCUAGGAAAAAAAGGAAAGAAAAGUAGAAGCCCACACUGAGCACAGAGGCCUAUUCACAUAAUGGGUUUAUACUACCUACUUGCUUGCCCGCCUGCCCCCUGGCCCCAAUCUGGCACUCUCUCUUUCAGAAGGCUUUAAUGACUGACCCAUUUACAUAACUCUCUUCCGAUUUUCAAAUGUUUCCCUUCAUGAGGCCCUCCCCUGUCUCCAAACUGAUUCCACUUUUCCUUUCUUGCACUGUGCAUCUCUAUCUGAGAGUCUCUUGCUCUAUUUGGACCAGGUGGAGUCUCAUCAGAGCCCAGUCUGGCCUAGAGUAAACUCACAAGCAGAGAGCGAGAGAGAGAGAGAGAGAGAAAGGUCUCAAGAGAACUGUGCUGAUAAUCUCUGUCAACAGCAUAUCUGAAGGCCUCGGCUGCCUGGCUACUGCCAAGGGUAUGUGUGUGUGUGCUGGUGAAGUGUGUGACUGCUUCUCCAUGGUCACCCAGCAGCUUCCAAAUGUGUGGGCGCCUGAUAGUCAACUGCUUUAUACAACUUCUGAGGCUGUUCCUAUAGCAUGGAGGUAAAAGUAGGAACCGAUUGGUUAGUCUCAGCACAAAAAGUGGAAAUGGGCCCUCUUAUAGGCUGAACAUGACAUGUACUAGCAUCUUGUUUUACUUAGCAUACUGUAAUGAGAAUAAUUCAAUAUCAACUUAGGCUUAUGCACUUAUGUGACCACAGGCAUUGUCUUAAAAAGAUUGUUAUUCACAGCAUGUGGAGCUGUUGAUCAUGCAUUAUACCAGAGUGUGUACUAUCAAUCCUGCCGAUUGUGGAAUCAGUCAUAUGUGAGGAGUGGGUGGUUUGUUACUCCAUGUGAUCAUCUGCUGUAGAUACAGAAAAAGUAGGUGGUCCUUAGUGAUGCCUGGCGCAGAUGAACAUGCACAGUACCAGACCAACAUGGACGAAUGUCUCCCAGACCACCUCUCAAUCUGGACUGACUGAUUGCUUCCAGCACACACUGCCGAGUACUCAAACUUGUGGUGCGAUAACUUAGAUCUCUUGAUUAAAACACCUAAAAACAGUUCCAGUUUAGAUCGUUGUUUUGCACGUACAACACAUAAUGAUGCAUCCGUUCCCUCGCAACAACAGCAGAGCAACACCUCUGAACUCGUUGGGGAAACGUGCAUAACUUUUUUUUUUGGCACAAAGCAGCGAAGCUUUCAAGUGGGCAUGAAACAUGCUGUUGUGGAAGAACAAAAUAACUGAGUGUUCCGCUUUUUGGCAGUGGCAUGUAUACACACGCCUCUUUUCAGGAGCGACUACAAACAGCGAGGCCUCGGGGCAUCUUUCAUACACACGUGAAGAAAGGCUUUGGCUUCCAGGACACCUGUCUGCUGUCGAAUGUGAAACAUAUAAGCAAAGGAUUGUGGCAUUUAACAUAACAAACUCAUUCAAAAAGCAGGAUUUUUUAAGGUUAGAUUCCUCGACCCUAACUUGGGGAGAGUACACUGGGACCUACAGGCCAAAGUUUUACAAGAAGAUGGGAUGUGAAUAUCUUAGAAAGCGACGAAGGUACAGGUUUAGGUAAAAAGGUUUAGGUGUAGAGAAAUCCUUCUUAAAGAUAAGCAGAAAUUUUUUUUAAAUAUGCAAAAGUCUGAAUAGGAUGGUGUGAGGUGGCCAGUUUGUGGACAAUGGUUGUUGUGUUUCAUGGGAGCUGGGGGUUGGGUGAGCCGCAACGAGAGUGUCGCACAUGAACCGGACAAUAAAGUUUCAAAUAAUUUGUAUGCAUAUCACAAGCUUCUUUCUUCCAAAGUCAAAAAGCGCCUCCACUCAAAAAUCAGUCUUGCACUCAGGGUUCAAAGAGCAGCUCACUCUCUACCUGAUGACAUUUCAAGUUUCAAGUCUAAGCGCUCUGGUUUCCGGAGAGACCUACAUUCCCUUUAACUCCUUCAUGUGUGGAGAGUCAUGACACGUGGAGUCGUUGAACUCCUGGAGAGCAAGUUCUUCGUAUUUUCACAGUAAACAGACCCUCCAGCAGCUCUCACUCCCUCUCCUCCAUCUCUGAACAGUGGCCUCCUUUCAGGGCCAUCACUUAAGGGCCCUAUUAAUAAUUUGACAAGUUUUCUCAAAGAUUAAUUACGGCCAACUUCGAGGCUGCAAUUAUGCAGGGUGGAGAGACUCUGUAAACCUACAGCUCCAUUUCCAGGCCCAAUUUUCCACUUAUCAAGAUGCCAAUAGGAAGGAAAGGUUGUCUCGCAGUCUCUCUGAUGCAUAGGUUGCCAUUAGUUUGAAGAAAUAAAUAACAAUUAGCCGCAAAUGCUCCUCACUUGGCUUGAAGACAGCUGGGACUGUGGACCUCGGGCCAACCUCUUAAAGCUGAGACAAACAAAUCAUGGAAUUUUUUUUACUAGAACUGGGGUCCAAGUGUAACUCAAAUUGUUUAAAGUGAUGAAAGUGGCAAAUAUGUUAUUAAAAUAAUAGUUUCUGGGCUAAAGAUCUCGUCCUGCAAUCAAGGCAACAGCACCCGAGUCGGCGGGUGCAUCUUUAUAGCUCCUAUAUGGAGUUUUUCGACGUUAAUGAAAUAGACUGAAUUUAUAACGUAAGAGGCUCACUGAGCUGGUUAUUCACAUCCAGGUUCGACACACCGACAAAGGGGUUAAAUAGUGACAUCACACGCCAGUUUGUCACACGCUAGUUUAAUACACACCAGUUUGCUAAACGAAAAUGAGCGGGUUGUUGUAGAGAGAGGAAAAGAUUAAAAGUAAAGGUCCUUUUCACACCAGGAGCGUUUUUUCCGUGCAAUCAUUUCGGACAUCAAUAUUUUUUUUCGAACCAGUAUCCUGUCAAUACAAGCGUUCACAUCAGCAACGUUUUCCCGUCCUGAGAUAUUGCGGCAUUUAUUUUUUCGUUUCACGGUAGAUUUUUCCAAAGUUUCGCAUACUGUGUGUCCACGUCUGACCAAUCAGAUUUCGUGUUGUUGUGACGUCAGAUUCACCGGUAUAUCCAACAUGGCCAAUCGGCUGAUUGUUUACGUGUCGGAGAACAGAGUGCUUUUUGAUAAAAAACACAAAUAUUGCAAAGAUAACGACCUGAAGGACAAAUUGUGGAGAGUCAUAGCGUUGGAUUUCUCAUAUGACGAUGGUUUGUGUGCUUUAACAGUUUGCCACUGCCAAGUAACUUUAGCUAACCUGUUCAGAUACAACAUACCAUAUGUAUUUUCACUGUCUCAAACUCAAGUGUAAUUAAAAGAAAGUUGAACUGAGGUUUUCCGGCUGUCUGUGAUACUAAGCUCAGCAUUUACGUAUAUCUAUUUUGUUUGUUUGUUCUUAUCAUUGGCUGCAGUUGGUCUGGGGUCGAGUACAAGAAACUUUUUGGAUCCAGUUUGCACCCUUGGUAGGCAAAGAGAGGUAAGGUAGUGUGAAACAAUUUGAGUGGCGUGUUAUUGUUUGCGAGUGCGCAUUGUCUUGGGUGGAGAAAUUGUCUCAGUUGUUAUCAUUGUGGUUGUUUUAAUAGUGAAGUGGUGUUUAAAAAUGCAAAUAUUUAAGUACUGUUUUGUAUGAUUUAUGUUGAAACGAGAUUUGUAUUUUUUGUCAUGUUUUUAGUUUCACAGUACUCAAAGCGAGGAAUAAAGAAAUAAAGACUGUACCAGUUUAACGCAACGCCUUGUUUAUCGAUACCGAAGGCUGUAACACAUAAUGAAGCCUUUAACGGCAUGCUUUUUAUACCUUAGCUUUUAAUCGGCAUUAAAAUAUUCGACAGGUUCGAAUAGCGUGGAUGUGCUGCCAGGAAGACGGUUGCAAACAAAACUUUAACGGAAGAAGAAAUUAUGUCAAAAAGUUUUCAGCGAUCAACGUACAUCGUCUUUUGUCGAUUGUUUUGGUUUGUUAUAGAUCACUGGGAGACGAACAGUCAUGAGCUAGCAGACAAGAGUCAUGCACUCAAACACUCGAAGCAUUCAGCCCAAUUAGUGCCGGAGUUUGACCCACUUCUGGCUCCAUAUGAUGAAGUGGUGAACUUGUGACUGCAGGGUGAGGUGGCAAGUAGCAGCCAGACACCAUACAUCACCACUGAAGAGUGGAAGGCUCCUGUCCUCCACAGCAGAUGGUUGGGACAGAGCCAGGCGGCCUGUGCUUAAGUGUGUUCGUGAGUGUGUGGGGGUUAGAGACAGUAGAGAAAGAGCAGAGAGAAAGAGAGAGAGAGAGAGAGAGAGAGAGAAAGGGUGAAUACAAUGCACUGAGUGUCUCCAUGCUGCGGUCUGCCAGAGAUAAGAGCCACCUGCCUGUCCCAUUCUCCCCUCUGCUGAGUUCACACAGAGCCCUCAAUCUCACCACUCCUCAUGCACAUAACCAUAAAGAUGAAGCCCAUCCAUACACUGCAUGUUGUCAUUAUACUGUUAUACCGUUACUAUUUUUUUCAGGCUUUUCUGUCGUCAAAUAAUUCACAGCAAACUCAGAGGCUAUCCAGCGACCUUUAAGCCGUUAUCACGUCCUGCUGCAAAGCUGCAUCCUGAAACAUUAUCAUCUUUGUGUGCAGCCAAUGAGAAAGCGGGGUAUAGAGAGGUGAACCGAGAGCACAAAGCCUAGAUUGUUCCUCCUCAGUGUCUGUCCAUGAUAACAAUGACCCAUUCAUUUUGCCCCGCGAUGGGCCCUAAUUAAUUCCAACUUUACAUUCUGACCUACAAUCUCCCCCCUGUUCAUCCUCUGUUUUCACCCAGACCCAACAAUAACUGCGUCAAGCCAAAUACGUCCAACCUUGGCAGUCGCCCUCGCCACUUCAUGGUCAAAAAGUUGGUAGAAGCGUCUCAAUCGGUUGUGUCUCUUAUACAAGACUGGAUUUGUCUAUACUGGGUCACUUUGACGCUCAAGAUUGGUGGCGGUCGCCAUGUUGGAAAUACUGAAUCUUUUGGGCUUUGAGGUGGCAGUGGCUAUUGGUAGAUUGGUCGUCUUUUAGCAGGAAGGUUAGGGGUUUGAUCACAGGUUUAAGUGUCCACAUGAGGAAGUCUUCUAAGGCAAGACACCUGAUCUCUUGGAUUCAUGGUUGAGGACUACAUGGCCAUGGGUUUCUAGAGCUGUGGUCAACAAAGCAAAACCAGCAUCGUCCAGGAACCCUAUACCCCUCAAAUAUUCAAGAUCUGCAAUCGAGUAACAUUCUUCAGUGAGUUCCUCCUUCCUUCCUUAGCACCUUACUCUUGUCCUACAGCAGCAAACACACAAAAGUGCUCCCUUCUCCUCAGUCUAAGCCCCCGCUCUCCCUUGUCAAAUAGAGCUUGGCGCUGUUUCCUCCUUCCUGCCCUACAUCCGAAUCACAGGGAGCGAGAGGAGAGGAGACGAGUGAGCUGAAUAAAGAAGACAAGAGCGGAGGGAGAAAAGGAGGAGUCUGAGAGAAGACGGAGAAAGGAUGAAGUGGGAUUGAGGGGGGGUCGACAUUGAGAUAGAAAGGGGAAAAAACGGAGAGGAAUAUAGGAGGGAGAAGGCAUGAAAUGUGUGGGAGGAGGAGGAGGAGGAGGAGGAGGGAGGGUAGGGAGGAGGUGGGCGUCUGUGGUGAGGGGGCACAAAAUGAAGAACAGAGGCUGCUUUGUCGAUAGCAACAGCAAACUUUUUGGGGAUCAUUUGCUGCUCUCACUCUACGGCCUCAAAGAACUGCAGUCUGAGCUGGAAGUGUGUGUGUAUGCACCGGUAUGUGUACUGAUUGGCGUCAGGAUACUAAAGUAUGAGCAAAAUGAAAAAAAAAACAACAACCCUGAUUACGAGAUAAAUCCCACUCCUCUAUUUCUACAUAAAAAAGAGCAUCAAACGCACCAUAACACCAAGUUAGACACCCCCUCGAGAGAUGAAUGUUGCCGACCGCUUGCUUCUCUAGUUAUAGCAACUUUAGUAACGACCGCACGAUAGCAAUACACAGCGCUCAACCAAAACGCCACUCUAUAGCCACAGUAGGGCGGCAGUAGCUCAGGAGGUAGAGUGAUCGUCCAAUGGCUGGAAGGUUGGCUGUUUGAUUCCCCCCUAUCCUGAGUUUGUCCGUUGUGUCCUUGGGCAAGACACUUGACCCACCUUGUUCUUUCUUGAGCUACGCCACCCCACUGUAGUUCGUAAUGGACUGGCCUGAGGUCUUGCUACAAACAAGCGGCUGCUGGAAGAGAGUAGGUGAGUUGUGUCAAGUCUCUUCGCUAAAGAAAUUAGGCAAAGCUAAAAAGAUGUUUGGAGGCUAAUGCUAUGGCUAUUAUUUGUGGCUAUAGAGUGGCGUUUUGAUUGAGGUUUGUUUAUGGCUCCUCAGACCGCUGUGUAUUGCUAUUGCUAUUGCGGCCGUUACUAAAUUUGGUAUAACAAGAGAAGCAAGCGGUUGGCAACAUUCAUCCCUCGGGGGGUGUCUAACCUGGUGUUAUGGUGUGUUUGACCCUAAAGUAAUUUUACGCUGGAAUAUGCCUUUAAGGGAUCUGAUCUGGAAAGUCUCCCUAAAGGCUUUUCGUCUCACGAAGCGAGUGGAUUUUACUGGAAGGUUGAAAGCUGAUACUGUUAACACAAAUAUAUCAUGCACUAGGCUGGACUCGUUUAAUUAUUUAACUCCAAAUGAUAGACAAAUAUGGUUCAUAAUGGAUUUGCUAAGGCUAACAGAAUACUGGUGAAUACUGGAUUGUACAACAGGAGCACCUAGACAUUUCCAGGCGGCCUGGGGGUGAGCAGUCACUGCAAACAGCCACAAUGAGUGAAUAGAUCUUUCUGGAUGCAUGCAUCAUCAUAUGUGAGAGUGUAUUAAGGUUGGCUUGUUGUGCUCAGUCCUGAAUUUUAACAUUAUAGAGUCUGAAUCGAUGGAAAGUAAAACAGCAACAGCUUCGUACUCCAAAUAUUUCAGUAACAGGUGUAUUUUAUUUUCUCCAGGAUCCCGUAAAUGUACCAUAUUUUCCCCGUUGAACAGAAUUCAUCACACAACGCGCCACUCUCUGUCCUCAAUGCAGCCUCUCAAAGCCGCCCACAGGCACGGAUAUUUAGUAGUACACCAACAGUGUUAAAUAAGCAAGGCUCAAGUAGGCAUGAUGAUUUCGCUGGCUGUGCCAAAAACGGAAACUGUAAAGGGAAAUUGGGCUAUUUAUAGUUUCUCCAUGCAGAUUUGAAUUAUUAUUAAUGGAGUUCCUGUUAUGUGUGACUGAGGACCUUGUAAAAGAGUUGAAAAUAUCUUUAAAAUAUUGGUAUUCAAGCACAAAUUUACUAUAAAAUAAACGUCUUUUUAAAGAUGUUUGUGUGAGGGCCUCAUUUAUCCUCAUUACCUUGUGCGCCUGGCUACAACCAUGUCCAAAUCCUCUGAGUAGUGUGUGUGUGUGACUGUGUGUGUGUGUGUGUGUGAGGGUGAGACAGGUUUGUAAGGGUCUCUUUCUUCAGGGUUGUCGAGCACAGGUGACCAUAGGAAGUUGUUUUCCAGAGCUUUUCCAGCGGUAUGUGUGUUCAGCUUAAGACCGUCUCGCCACAGGAACGUCCUCUUUGGGCAAACACACACACACAAAAAAAAAAAACUUUCACACACACGCGCCUAAAUGCCGACCUGCAAGGGUGCAAAACGCCGAAAAGAUAAGAAAUCCAGAGUUUGUGUAAACGCGCAUUGAUUACUUUUAAAUGGAUUUUAACUAGCAGGGAAGUGCCGCUCUUCUUACACCAAAUGAGCUGAAGUGAGACUCUGUUUUCUAUAUUAAUCAAGCAGGAAUUCCAAGGUGAAGGAAUUCUGUUGAUUUUGGCUCCGGGCCCGCCGCAGCACUACUCCUUAAGAUUCCUCCCACUGAAAUGACAUGUUAAGUGUGCGGCUUGUUUUCUCUAGCUUUGGGGUCCCUACAAUGAGGCAAUCUCUGUAUAACGCAGAAGAAGUUGGACAUGUAAGCGCUGCGAACACUCACCUAUGGUUUGUAUCAGGCAUUUUUCAAUUGUAGAGACUUUACGGCACACUUGUUGAAUUCAAAUCACAAGUUUAAAG